AUGAACAUCGCCCUCUUGACCCGUUGGCUCUGGCGCAUUGCCAAUGGAGAUGGAGGUCUCUGGCUUACUAUCAUCCAGAACAAGUACCUGCAUGGGCAGCCUCUCGCAUUUUGUCAGCGCUCUGGCGGCUCCCAGUUUUGGCAGGCCGUCGUCCAGUUGCUGCCUGUAUUGCGCAUUGGCACAUCCAUCUCGGUGGGUACUGGGUCCUCGACCCUGUUUUGGCUGGAUAGGUGGCUUGGCGACACCCCCCUAGCCGCGCGUUUUCCAGUGCUCUUCGACAUCGUCGUUGACCCUCGGGUCUCUGUCGAGACGACCCUUAUUGACUUAGGGUGCCUCGCUUUCCACCGCCCCUUUGGCCCUACCGAGGUGGCAGCUUGGGAUGCCCUUCUCCAGGACAUCGCCCUCCUUCCUAUGGACGUGGCCGACUCUCCGGACGUCAUCUCUUGGCGUCUGGGACCCUCCGACUGCUUCUCCACCAAAUCCCUCUACUCGGCUAUAGCCCCAUCGACGGCCCCAGAGCCCUUCAGUUUGAUUUGGGACAUCCGCCUCCCCCUAAAGAUCCGGAUCUUCCUUUGGCAAUGGAUCCGCGGCCGCCUCCCGUCUGGCGUUGAGGUCCUUAAGCGUCGUGGCCCUGGCGAUGGGAUGUGCCCUAUGUGCGGCAUGGUAGAGGAUGCCAACCACAUCUUCUUCUUGUGCUACAUGGCACAGUUCCUUUGGUCUUGUUUCCGCGAAACGGCAGGGGGCCAGUGGUGA
rnacentral:rRNA from 1 species